ACCUACGGGCGGCAGCAGUGGGGAAUAUUGGACAAUGGGCGAAAGCCUGAUCCAGCAAUGCCGCGUGAGUGAUGAAGGCCUUAGGGUUGUAAAGCUCUUUUACCAGGGAUGAUAAUGACAGUACCUGGAGCAUAAGCUCCGGCUAACCCCGUGCCAGCAGCCGCGGUAAUACGGAGGGAGCUCGCGUUGUUCGGAAUUACUGGGCGUAAAGCGCGCGUAGGCGGCUAUUUAAGUCGGGGGUGAAAUCCCGGGGCUCAACCCCGGGACUGCCUUUGAAACUGGUGAGCUAGAAUCCUGGAGAGGCGAGUGGAAUUCCGAGUGUAGAGGUGAAAUUCGUAGAUAUUCGGAAGAACACCAGUGGCGAAGGCGACUCGCUGGACAGGUAUUGACGCUGAGGUGCGAAAGCGUGGGGAGCAAACAGGAUUAGAUACCCCGGUAGUCG
rnacentral:rRNA from 1 species